rnacentral:rRNA from 1 species
GACGAACGCUGGCGGCGUGCCUAAUACAUGCAAGUAGAACGCUGAAGCGAGGAGCUUGCUCUUCUUGGCUGAGUUGCGAACGGGUGAGUAACGCGUAGGUAACCUGCCUUGUAGCGGGGGAUAACUAUUGGAAACGAUAGCUAAUACCGCAUAACAAUGGAUGACACAUGUCAUUUAUUUGAAAGGGGCAAUUGCUCCACUACAAGAUGGACCUGCGUUGUAUUAGCUAGUAGGUGAGGUAAUGGCUCACCUAGGCGACGAUACAUAGCCGACCUGAGAGGGUGGUCGGCCGGACUGGGAGUGAGACACGGCCCAGACUCCUACGGGAGGCAGCAGUAGGGAAUCUUCGGCAAUGGGGGCAACCCUGACCGAGAAACGCCGCGUGAGGGAAGAAGGUUUUCGGAUCGUAAAGCUCGGUUGUAAGUCAAGAACGGGUGUGAGAGUGGAAAGUUCACUCUGUGACGGUAGCUUACCAGAAAGGGACGGCUAACUACGUG